UUGAAAUCAUUGGUUGCUGUUUGACAUACACUUUAAAGUGAACAAAUCUGAGAUCAACAUCACUGUGUUAUCGUGGAAUUACCCUACAGCUCAGCUCAAUCCCACAUCUUGUUUUCACCUAUUUGGGUAAAUGAUUAACCAUAGUUGCCUCUUUUGAUACAGCCACAGUAGUCUUAAAAUCGACUGUUGCCUUGAAUGAAACAUAAACAUUUAAACUCCAAGUAAACUCUCUGUGACAUUUGCUGACAUCUUAUUUUCCUCUCUCUCAAUCCAGUUGUUCUCAGGAGACAGGUCAGUGUGUGUAGAGAGAACACAUUUGACCAGGUGGAGUCAGGCUUCUACUUCACCGCGCUGGACCACUACACCAACGAGGCAGAGGACCUCAAGUUUGGACCACUCUAUAGAUUAUGCUGAUGCCCCACUGUAAAAACCUGGAGAUCUUCACUGGUUCUGUGGGAGGUGACGUGGCUACAAACAGUGCCUGGGACACCUUCCUGCGCUAUCGCUGUCAAGAGAACAGCCAGAGAGGCUGGUCAAGACAUCUGCCGCAACUACAUCUUUAGUGUCAGCUCUGCUGCACCUGGGAGCUAAAGAUGGCUCUGGCUUGCUGAUAACAUCGAUCUGAUGAGACUCCCUAUGCGAUUUGACUCCUGUAUUACUGACUGUAUUCAAU